CCUACGGGUGGCAGCAGUGAGGAAUAUUGGUCAAUGGACGAGAGUCUGAACCAGCCAAGUAGCGUGAAUGAUGAAGGCCCUAUGGGUGUUAAACUUCUUUUAUAAAGGAAUAAAACGAGGCACGUGUGCCUUUGUGCAUGGACUUUAUCAGUAAGGAUCGGCUAACUCAGUGCCAGCAGCCGCGGUAAUACGGAGUAUCCGAGGUUUGUGCGGAUUUAUUGGUUUGAAAGGGAACGUAGAUGGGUUGGUAAGUCAGUUGUGAAAGUUGGCGGCUCAACCGUAAAAUUGAAAUUGAUACUGGCAGUCUUGAGUACAGUUGAGGUAAGCGGAAUUCCUGGUGUAGCGGUGAAAUGCUUAGAUAUCACGAAGAACCCAGAUUGCGAAGGCAGCUUACUAAACUGUGACUGACAUUGAUGCUCGAAAGUGUGGGUAGCAAACAGGAUUAGAUACCCUGGUAGUC
rnacentral:rRNA from 1 species